AAAAAGGGCUUCUGUUGUGAGCAACACACGUAGAGCAGCCUGAUUGCUCUACGUGCAGAAUCGACAUCAAGAGAUUUCGGAAGCAUGAUUUUUUGGUACUUGGGCAGCUGGUGAUCGUUGGUCCUGGCGCCCGU
rnacentral:snRNA from 1 species